UUUUCUUAUAAUUUUUUUCUUACUUAGAUUUCAUUGACCAAUUUUUUUUACUAUUCAAGUUGUUUUGACAUAAGUUUUAUUUGAUAUUUUUACCCUUAUGACAUAAAAUGAACAACUUGCUCCAAUAAAUAUAUGUUUUUACAUUUAAUAGUUUAAGUAUUUAAUUUUAUGAUUUAUUAUGUAACAUUUUUAAAUGAAAUCUAAUAAUUUUUAAUACCCUACAUGUAAAUUAUAUAAAUUUGACGAUUUGAUAAUUUACAUGAGUAUUGUAUAAUAAAGACAUUAUGUUAGUUUACUUAAAUAUUAAUAAUCAUACGUAUUGAUACAUCAUUUAAACAUAAUAAAUUUUGUUUAAAAAUUAAAAAAAAAUUGAAGCUAAAGUAAAUUUUUCAUACUUUUGAAGGAGAAGCAACAAGGCAAGGGCAACUAAUUAUCAGUAAUCUCUGCAUUUACAUUAUUUAACUUUUGAGUAAACAAUGUUGCUUUCGCGAUAUUUUACAGUACGUGUCCCAUUUGUUGACCGUAGGAAUUGCCGUCAUCCAAUAUUCCCAUUGACUCUUACUUGAACUUUAUAACUUUCCCACAUAUCUUCAACAAAAAAGCAAACAAAUGAAUAAACCAAUAAAAUUGUAAAAUUGNNN
rnacentral:lncRNA from 1 species